rnacentral:lncRNA from 1 species
AAAAAAAAAAGAAAGCAAAGGAAAACAUGGAUAGAGAUGGUUCUACAGCCUUUCAUAUAAAAGAACAACCCUUGAGCACCUAAAAAGAGCCCUGAAGAAAAAGAAAGAUCCCCAGAGGGAGACAUGAGGAGAGAGUCCAUUCCAGGGAAGUAAUCUAGUCAAAGAUACCAAAGAAAAAGAUGAAAUUUUUAGAUCAGGGAAUAGCAAGCAGGCUAGUCCAGUUGGAACUAAAUGUAUAUGAAAGGGAAUAAGAGGAACCCAAUCCAGAAAAGGUAGACUGGAGCCAGACAAAGAUUUAAAUACCAAGUUGAAGAAUAUGUUAGGAAUAAUCACAGCUAAACUGACCCGAUAAUACCCUCAAGAAUUGAAAGGAAGCCCUGGUUAGAAGACCAGAUAUAUGCACUGAUUUAUUCAGAAGAAUAGCAUCAAAAGCCAAUCCACAAAACUAUCCCUUUUUGUGGCCUCUGGCAUUCUAGCUGAAAAUCAUGGCCAUGUUAAACAGCAGUUUUCCCUUCCUUUGGCUACAGUAUAGCAUUAAGUCAUCUAGAGCUAAAGUGUGUUAAGUCCAAAACUCCAGGAUGCUCCCAGCAAGCUACUUGGUAAAGCAACUUAAAUGGGGAAAAAAUAUGUAUGGCUUACAUGUGUUCACAGAGUCGGGUAAAGCCAUUUUCAAUUCCACGUCUGACUCAUCCCCAAGUUGGCUGUCUGAUGGUGAUGAAUUUUUCAGCCCCAGGAUGGUCUCAAAUGAUCAUCUAGUAAGCUUCAGGAGUGGGGGAGGGCAGCCUGAUAGAGUUCGAAGGCAUACUCACAUAAAAAUGUAGCAUUGUCUCCAGUGGAGGGCUCCAUUUUGAACCCAGCAAGUAGGCAAAGAAGCCAUUAGGUCCUGUAGUCAAGAGAAAUGGCCAAAAGCAGAGGAAAAUCUGAGAUUUAAAGAAGAUGGACCCAGGAGAGGCAGAUGGACCAUUCAGAAAGCCGGCAGGGGGAAGGGAGAAUUGAGAAUUCCAUGGAAGAUUCAAAAAGCUGAAACUGUUGGCCAGAGCUGGUUCUGGUUACUCUCUUACCAAAGACUCUGACAAGAGCUAGGGAGGAGAGUUGCUCUUCUAAUACUCCUUCUACCUGGCAGAACUGAAGAAAGUUCUUGCCCACUGAAGACCUCUGCUGAUUUAAAACUAACUUUCCCUUACCAUUUCUCUGAAGAGACAUUGUGACCAAAGCCUUCAACAGUUGAUAGAGAAAAGAUAUUAGGGACCUCCCACAUCUUCCCUCUACCCCUCUGUCUCCCUAUCUUUCUUUUCCAAGAAAUAAAUUAGCUAUUUUAGUUUACA